AUUGAACGCUAGCGGGAUGCUUUACACAUGCAAGUCGAACGGCAGCGCAGACUUCGGUCUGGCGGCGAGUGGCGAACGGGUGAGUAAUGUAUCGGAACGUGCCCAGUAGCGGGGGAUAACUACGCGAAAGCGUGGCUAAUACCGCAUACGCCUACGGGGAAGGGGGGAGUCUUCGGACCUCUCACUAUUGGAGCGGCCGAUAUCGGAUUAGCUAGUUGGUGGGGUAAAGGCCUUACCAAGGCG
rnacentral:rRNA from 1 species